GAUUGUUGGAGCUUGUGGCUCAGUUUGACCCAUUUUUAGCAGGCCGUAUCUCAAAAUGUGGGAAUGCUGGCAAAGUUUUGAAUCUGAAGACAUAAUUACUUGUCAUAUUCUAGUUGUGUAAAUGUACUGCCUGAUUGCCCCUCCUUCCCUCCAGGACAUCACCAGAAAACACUAAGCAUCCAAAUUUUAAUCUUUCAUGGUCUAAAAUCUUGAAAGUCAAUCAGCGAUGCAUAGCCAGAACUCCACAAAGAAGCUUGAAGGUGCUGAAGAAGACAUCUGGGAUAGAUAAAAAUCUUCCUCUUUCCAUGAAAUCCAUUUAAAAUACUCUUAAAUAGGUUAAAUCUGUGUAAGAUCCUUAUUGUGCCCAUUAUCAUUUUACAGAUGGGGAAUUGAUGCACUGAGAGAGACGAUACGUUUACACUGUGACUGGGAACGUCCUUCCCAACACAGGUAUACAGAUAGUGUUUGCUGCACUCAAGCUACAGUAAUGUGCUAAAAAUAACAGUGUAGCAGGGCAUGGGGGUAGAACAGGCAGCA